GCCACGGUGAUCUAGCGGUUAGAACGCUGGUCUUGUAAUCCUGGGGUCUCGGGUUCGAUUCCCGGCGGUGCCC
rfam:Zootermopsis nevadensis contig14322, whole genome shotgun sequence.